CCCAAAAGCAGUGCUUAGACAAGUCUCUAUUUUUACCUAGAGCCCUCUCUCCCUUGAAAAUAUGUACUCAUUUUGCUUGUAAUAAAAACUGAAUUUCAGAUUGUUGAAGUGAUUUGCCCAAGAUUACCUCCUGAGAAGAUAGUAGAGACAGGAAAUAAAUCCCGCAUGAAACUCAUUCCAUCAAACACCAGUGCUUCUGUUCCAUGUUUGUGUGCGGUUCUAUUUCACCAGAGUAGACAUUCUCCUCUCCCGUGGCACGCCGGGAAGAUGAAGCUGGAUAGCUCCAUGGGGGUAUUAAGUACAGGUUCUAACACCAUUUCAUCCUGCUUGCCUUUGCCUGAAACAAACUCUCAGCUCAUCUCUGCUCUUGCACCUGGAGGCAACAAGAGUAGUCUCUGGUCCAGGCUGGUCCAACCCAGGAUCUUCAGCUGGCAUUGGCUUCUGAAGCUGUAACAGGGGGUGUGGCUGCCAUUGGGAGACAAGCUUCUUGCCAUAUGGAAGAACCUCGUCUGCCCGAGGGAAUGACCCUGAUUCUCAGAGACAGUCCAUGAAGGCUCCAGGGAUGUCAAGAUACCUUUGGAUGAAGGUCAAGGAUCUUGGUUAUUCCCAAGACUGGGGUUCUCAGCAGAAGGCUGGGUUACAGGGAGCUUUGGCUGCUAUGACUAAAGGUCAGUGACAAGAAUUUCCUCAGCUCAGUGCUUUCAGUGGGGAGUCUUCUGACAUCUUCAGCCAGCCCCCAUCUUUCUGACAUGCUGCCUAACCUGCUUCAGGAGGAACAUUACCCAUGAAAACAUGGUGUUCAUUUUUCCUGGGAAAGCAGGUCAAAACUCACAUACAUGUGUCACCAUUUGGUGCAGAUGUUAUCUUAGGUGUUCUGCCAUAUCUUGGUUGUCAAUUUCUUGAAACUUAGACUUUCUUUAGUUUUACUUAGGUCAAAUAAAAACCAGUUGUGCUGUUUGUGGUUGCA
rnacentral:lncRNA from 1 species